rnacentral:rRNA from 1 species
GUGCCAGCAGCCGCGGUAAUACGGAGGGUGCGAGCGUUAUCCGGAAUUAUUGGGCGUAAAGCGCGCGCAGGUGGUUUCUUAAGUCUGAUGUGAAAGCCCACGGCUCAACCGUGGAGGGUCAUUGGAAACUGGGAGACUUGAGUGCAGAAGAGGAAAGUGGAAUUCCAUGUGUAGCGGUGAAAUGCGUAGAGGUAUGGAGGAACACCAGUGGCGAAGGCGACUUUCUGGUCUGUAACUGACACUGAGGCGCGAAAGCGUGGGGAGCAAACAGGAUUAGAAACCCCAGUAGUCC